AGAGUUUGAUCCUGGCUCAGAGCGAACGCUGGCGGCAGGCUUAACACGUGCAAGUCGAGCGGGCAUAGCAAUAUGUCAGCGGCAGACGGGUGAGUAACGCGUGGGAACAUACCUUUUGGUUCGGAACAACACAGGGAAACUUGUGCUAAUACCGGAUAAGCCCUUACGGGGAAAGAUUUAUCGCCGAAAGAUUGGCCCGCGUCUGAUUAGCUAGUUGGUGAGGUAACGGCUCACCAAGGCGACGAUCAGUAGCUGGUCUGAGAGGAUGAUCAGCCACAUUGGGACUGAGACACGGCCCAAACUCCUACGGGAGGCAGCAGUGGGGAAUAUUGGACAAUGGGCGCAAGCCUGAUCCAGCCAUGCCGCGUGAGUGAUGAAGGCCCUAGGGUUGUAAAGCUCUUUUGUGCGGGAAGAUAAUGACGGUACCGCAAGAAUAAGCCCCGGCUAACUUCGUGCCAGCAGCCGCGGUAAUACGAAGGGGGCUAGCGUUGCUCGGAAUCACUGGGCGUAAAGGGUGCGUAGGCGGGUCUUUAAGUCAGGGGUGAAAUCCUGGAGCUCAACUCCAGAACUGCCUUUGAUACUGAGGAUCUUGAGUUCGGGAGAGGUGAGUGGAACUGCGAGUGUAGAGGUGAAAUUCGUAGAUAUUCGCAAGGACACCAGUGGCGAAGGCGGCUCACUGGCCCGAUACUGACGCUGAGGCACGAAAGCGGGGGGAGCAAACAGGAUUAGAUACCCUGGUAGUCCACGCCGUAAACGAUGAAUGCCAGCCGUUAGUGGGUUUACUCACUAGUGGCGCAGCUAACGCUUUAAGCAUUCCGCCUGGGGAGUACGGUCGCAAGAUUAAAACUCAAAGGAAUUGACGGGGGCCCGCACAAGCGGUGGAGCAUGUGGUUUAAUUCGACGCAACGCGCAGAACCUUACCAGCCCUUGACAUCCCGGUCGCGGAUUCCAGAGACGGAGUCCUUCAGUUCGGCUGGACCGGAGACAGGUGCUGCAUGGCUGACGUCAGCUCGUGUCGUGAGAUGUUGGGUUAAGUCCCGCAACGAGCGCAACCCCCGUCCUUAGUUGCUACCAUUUAGUUGAGCACUCUAAGGAGACUGCCGGUGAUAAGCCGCGAGGAAGGUGGGGAUGACGUCAAGUCCUCAUGGCCCUUACGGGCUGGGCUACACACGUGCUACAAUGGCGGUGACAAUGGGACGCUAAGGGGCAACCCUUCGCAAAUCUCAAAAAGCCGUCUCAGUUCGGAUUGGGCUCUGCAACUCGAGCCCAUGAAGUUGGAAUCGCUAGUAAUCGUGGAUCAGCAUGCCACGGUGAAUACGUUCCCGGGCCUUGUACACACCGCCCGUCACACCAUGGGAGUUGGUUUUACCUGAAGACGGUGCGCUAACCCGCAAGGGAGGCAGCCGGCCACGGUAGGGUCAGCGACUGGGGUGAAGUCGUAACAAGGUA
rnacentral:rRNA from 1 species